rnacentral:lncRNA from 1 species
CGCUGGAGACCUUUCUGCUUCCCUCAGGAUUGAAAAAAUAAUAGAUUCCGUCACAGUCUCACAUUGGGUUGAGGAGCAUGCUCGCAGGUUCACGAGGGACAGUGUCUGCACAAGAAAGGGAGCAAGUGUCUCUGGCUCAUAUGCUAUCGCUGCACACAUAAAACAGGCCAUUAAGCAAGUUAGCGAUCAUUAAUGAACAUACUCGAGCAAGAUAGAUAUUUAUGCAAGUUGACGCGACACGUCAUUCAUUAAAAUAUUUGCUCAGAACACUGUCAAAUAAACAGCUGCACAUACAGCAACUCUGUUGUUGAGAACCUGCAUUGGUCUUAUAACAGUUAUGAUAAUGUAGAUCUAGAUCUGCAAGCGUUUCAGUAAAGAAUGACACGAGUCUUUUACACGUUCUGAUGUCAACUCAUGCAGUGAUACAGUAAAUAUGUGUGAAUAAUUUGGUGAAAAAAAUCAUAUUGUGGGUAUUAUGUUUCAAUUUAGGGUUGUGAUAAAAUACUAAUAAGUUUAGUAGUUUUAUUUACAGGCUACGAUUCAGAGAAUAAAAAAAAAUAGAAGAAUACCACAUUUGAACAAAACAAAAAUAUUAUUUAUUUACCUGUACUGUCUGUUUUUUUUUUAACUUCCAACUCCCACUGUCUGUUGCCGCCAGGCAAAUUAAAGCGAUGCACGCGCUGUUUGGCAGCGUGUUUCAUUGGUGGAUCUAUGUGUCACCCAAGUAGCCUGGUGGUGAUUGGUUGGCGGACCGCUAAUGUCACGGAAGCAGGUGUGGGAGUGUAGCGCCUUAGCCCAGUAAUGCUGGUAGCCUUUCUUAAUAGAGCCGAAACGUAGGCCCAGCGUUUCAGCGGUAAGGAUGUGGACGGUGACAGUUAAUUGGAGAAGCGGGCCAAUUGGAGCCUACACUAUGUGUGUGAGAUGAAAGAGUUGGUGGUAACUGACCUGGAGACUGUGCUUCCAGGACACUGGUAUCUUCCCCCUUCAAGCUACAUCAAGAUUCCAGAGGUUGAAACUGGCAGGGAGAUUUUUAGCAAAUGGCAUCUGGUUAAAGGUCAGAUUCAGGGGCCCCAGUGGGUGAAAGGUUGAAUAACUCCAAGAAGGUAGUGACCAAGUAUUUAGGCCGAUGUUAAAACCUGUGUUUGAGUAUGAAAUAUGCUUUAAUAUAUAAUAAAGCCUUUUAAAUGUUAGAGAAAAGUCA